AUUGAACGCUGGCGGCAGGCCUAACACAUGCAAGUCGAACGAGUGGCGGAGGGGUGAGUAAUGUCUGGAAAACUGCCUGGGGGAGGGGGAUAACUACUGGAAACUGUAUCUAAUACCGCAUACCAUCGGAUGUGCACAGAUGGGAUGAGCUAGUAGGUGGGGUAAAGGCUCACCUAGGCGACGAUCCCUCGCUGGUCUGAGAGGAUGACCAGCCACACGGGAACUGAGACACGGUCCAGACUCCUACGGGAGGCAGCAGUGGGGAAUAUUGCACAAUGGGCGCAAGCCUGAUGCAGCCAUGCCGCGUGUAUGAAGAAGGCCUUCGGGUUGUAAAGUACUUUCAGCGGGGAGGCGUUACCCGCAGAAGAAGCACCGGCUAACUCCGUGCCAGCAGCCGCGGUAAUUC
rnacentral:rRNA from 1 species